UAAUAUAAAUAGCAGACGACACUUCGAUAGACAUAUUCAAAUUCAAUUGAUGUUAUUAUUAUUAUCGAGUUCAGGCUAAUGAGUUUCACUUUUGACAAGAUUUUCACACAUUUCAGAGGCAGUUCGUCAAGACAAUGUUCGCCUUUUUUAUACUGACCUAUAUGUGUGUGAGUGUUGGCGGCUCUGGCCCAGAUGACACAGAAAGUAGCGGCGAUGACGCAAUACAAACAGGCGUGUUUAUAACAACAGAACUCUCAGAGUCACAACAUAACCUGACCGUGAACAGUUUACAAACUCCAGAGCCAACCACAGUCAUUGAUUCAAAGUCUACCACAACAUCGAAUGAUUUAGAUUCAAUCAAGGUGUCUUUCACCACAGCCAUUGAUUCAAAGUCUACCACAACAUCGAAUGAUUUAGAUUCAAUCAAGGUGUCUUUCACCACAGCCAUUGAUUCAAAGUCUACCACAACAUCGAAUGAUUUAGAUUCAAUCAAGGUGUCUUUCACCACAGUCAAUGAUUCAAAGUCUACCACAACAUCGAAUGAUUUAGAUUCAAUCAAGGUGUCUUUCACCACAGUCAUUGAUUCAAAGUCUACCACAACAUCGAAUGAUUUAGAUUCAAUCAAGGUGUCUUUCACCACAGCUAUUGAUUCAGAUGUAAGCAAGUUUUUUCCCAUCACAGCGAUUGAUUCAAUUUCAGAGAAAAAAUCUACCAACUGCAUUGAUUUAGAAUGUACUACUUCUAUAAAUUUAACUUCCUAUGAUAAGUCUUCAAAAACUAGCACAGAAACAAUGACUCCUACAGUGAAUGACAAAAGUUCCGAGUUCUUAAACUCCACACAUCAAACAACAACUGCAGCAGGAGAAUCAAAGUCGACCCAAGUCGAUGACAUUAGCGCUAGUGUGACUUCGGUUGCAACAUCGUCCGCAAUGGCCAGACACUCAUCGGGAAGAUCUCUGUAUGGAGAAACAUCUUACACUACACAAAGUUGUUUUUUUUUUCCUUCGCCGCUAAUAAUGUAUGCUUGGAAAUGUUCACGUUUAACAUCGUUGUUGUUUUUUAAAGAAAAAAAGUUUUGUUCCAUCAUUUCUUUACUGAAGGUAAGUUGGCUUUUUUUUUUUUUGCUUUCUUUCGUAACAUCGAAAUUAAAAUAGUAAAACUUUUUAACCUUGGUAUUAGCCAAUAUUGGUCAAUGUAAAUCUAGUGGCCUAGCAACCAUGGCGUUAAAGGGCUCAAUGCACCUGGACCCAGUGCCGAUAAGAGGCCGACAGAGAUUUUGAAAGAAAAAAAAAAUGAUCUUUCAAACGUAUCGAUAUCUUACAUAAUUUUACUUAGCAUCCAUUGUUGAUUGAUCUUUUUGUUUCUGAUAGUGGAGAUUUUCAACUUUAGCGAGGAAAAAAAAAACUAUAAAUAGCUAUCUUUUUGGUGUAUCCGGUGUACAGAAUGAAGUUCGUGUUGAUUGGCUGUUUAAAGUCAUAUGAUAGCUUUUUAGCUUUACAGAUUACAGAAUCACAUUUUCUAAACUCCUCCGUUAGUUGCACAAAAUAAUUUCACUACAGAGAAAGUAUUAGACUUUCGGGGGCGCGAUGGCUGAGUGGUUAAGCACUCGGCUUCCGAACCUGAGGUCCUGGGUUUGAACCUCGGUGAAGGCUGGGAUUUUGAAUUUCGGUAUUUUUAGUGCGUCCCUGAAGUAAAGGCGCUUGGUUGUUGUGCUGACCACUUAACACCCUGCUCGUUAACCGUUGGCCAUAGAAACAGAUGAUCUUAACAUCAACUGCCUCAUAGAUCGGAAGGUCUGAAAGAGAAACUUUACUUUACUUUUUAUUAGACUUUCACUCUAGGACUUAAAAACUGUGUUAAAACAAAUGUACAACUAGCUAAGGAUAGCAGAGGAGAUUUGAUGUGAAGCUUCACUACCACGCAUUGAGACAUUGUUAAAAGUAAAGCUCUGUUUUUUAAGUUGGCAACACUGAAGUUCCGUUGAUACUUUUUGUUUAUUUUAUAGUGAACAUCUCCAAUGAACUCAGGUAAAAGAUAGCACCUGCAGAGGCAUGACGUCCUGUCAAUGAACUGAUACCUACUGUCUGACUUCUUUUGGGUGAAUGGGAGAGUUUUUCUUAAUUUAUGAGACAAUGGUAAGGCGAUGUCAAUAAUGGUAGCGAAUUUUUAUUUUGUAUCAAUGAACAGCAGAUCCGGGCGAUUAAAAUCUACCUGAUUUGUCGGUCAAAACAGGCCUAUCCCAGUACAGCAGAUGUUCAGUAGACUCGAGAACCUCUUAUGGCGAGUAUUUAUAAUAAGCUCGUGAGCAGUACGUGGAUAGAAUGUGUUGUAAAGACCAGCAGUCAACAAAUACCAGUGCUAUGACCUAUCAUUCUAAUUCCAUCAUUGUUUUACGUCGUAUAUUAUUUUAUGACAAGUGUCUCUGUUGUUGUUUUGUGUGUGUGUUUCUUUUUUACCCUAACAAAACAGUUGAGUAAUUUUACAAUGAUUUUUUUACUCUCAUGUUUGUAUUUAAUGAUGCGUUAAUUUAAGAGAUGUUUAUGUCACGUACGGUUAGUUGGUUUUGAUACGUCGUCUUCUUGUCAGUGAAUAGUGUCGAUUUACAUUAUUAGCCAGUUCAGAAAUAAAUACAUGUGGUACAUGUUACACCACUGUGAAAUAAUGUUACUUUAACAAACAAUAAACAUAUAUGUAUAUAUACAUGGUUUUAUUCUUAUUAAAAAAAA